UACGGAGGGUGCAAGCAUUAAUCGGAUUUAUUGGGCGUAAAGAGCGCGUAGGCGGGAAAGAAAGUCAGAUGUGAAAUCCCGGGGCUCAACCUCGGAACUGCAUUUGAAACUCCUUUUCUGGAGGGUAGACGGAGAAAGCGGAAUUCCACAAGUAGCGGUGAAAUGCGUAGAUAUGUGGAAGAACACCAGUGGCGAAGGCGGCUUUCUAGUUUACACCUGACGCUGAGGCGCGAAAGCAAGGGGAGCAAACAGG
rnacentral:rRNA from 1 species